GGCAGGUUGGCUUCCUGUUUUGAAUUCUUGUUUUAUCAUGACAGAUAUAAGGGAAGAUUGUUUACACUAUGGGUCUUCCAUUGUGUAAUUGGUUUCACAAUUCAUUCUUCAUUUGCUUUAGAAAAUGGUUCUAAAUAAUUAUUAGGUAAUGCUUUAAUAACUUAUGAAUAUGAAUUAAUAAUGGAGCCUUCACUAUAUGUCAACUUAGAUACUGAUGUUUAAUGGGAUCAAUCAUUAUUAUAUUAAUAAUACUCAACUCAACUAAGCCUU
rnacentral:misc_RNA from 1 species